rnacentral:rRNA from 1 species
GACGAACGCUGGCGGCGUGCUUAACACAUGCAAGUCGAACGGAAAGGCCCUGCUUUUGUGGGGUGCUCGAGUGGCGAACGGGUGAGUAACACGUGAGUAACCUGCCCCUGACUUUGGGAUAACUUCAGGAAACUGGGGCUAAUACCGGAUAGGAGCUCCUGCUGCAUGGUGGGGGUUGGAAAGUUUCGGCGGUGGGGGAUGGACUCGCGGGUUAUCAGCUUGUUGGUGGGGUAGUGGCUUACCAAGGCUUUGACGGGUAGCCGGCCUGAGAGGGUGACCGGCCACAUUGGGACUGAGAGACGGCCCAGACUCCUACGGGAGGCAGCAGUGGGGAAUAUUGCACAAUGGGCGGAAGCCUGAUGCAGCAACGCCGCGUGCGGGAUGACGGCCUUCGGGUUGUAAACCGCUUUCGCCUGUGACGAAGCGUGAGUGACGGUAAUGGGUAAAGAAGCACCGGCUAACUACGUG